GCGGUAGUGGCUCAGUGGUAGAGCAUCGCCUUGCCAAGGCGAGGGUCGUGGGUUCGAAUCCCAUCUACCGCUCCA
rnacentral:tRNA from 1 species